GACAGGAACUCUGGAGAGAAGCCUUUAAAGGGCUCGCCGAAGGGAUAACAAUCUCAGGCAAAAAGGACAGAGGGGGCUCA
rnacentral:ncRNA from 2 species